rnacentral:rRNA from 1 species
ACAGAGGUGGCAAGCGUUGUUCGGAAUUACUGGGCGUAAAGGGCGCGUAGGCGGCCCACUAAGUCAGACGUGAAAUCCCCCGGCUUAACCUGGGAACUGCGUCUGAUACUGGAGGGCUUGAGUAUGGGAGAGGGAUGUAGAAUUCCAGGUGUAGCGGUGAAAUGCGUAGAUAUCAGGAGGAAUACCGAUGGCGAAGGCAGGUCUCUGGGCUGACACUGACGCUCAUGCACGAAAGCGUGGGGAGCAAACAGGA